rnacentral:rRNA from 1 species
UACAGAGGUCUCAAGCGUUGUUCGGAUUCAUUGGGCGUAAAGGGUGCGUAGGCGGCGUGGUAAGUCGGAUGUGAAAUCUCGGAGCUUAACUCCGAAACUGCAUUCGAUACUGCCGUGCUUAAGGACUGGAGAGGAGACUGGAAUUUACGGUGUAGCGGUGAAAUGCGUAGAUAUCGUAAGGAAGACCAGUGGCGAAGGCGGGUCUCUGGACAGUUCCUGACGCUGAGGCACGAAGGCCAGGGGAGCAAACGGG